rnacentral:rRNA from 2 species
GUGCUGAAGUAACAAAUGCCCUGCUUCCAGGAAAAGCCUCUAAGCAUCAGGUAACACGAAAUCGUACCCCAAACCGACACAGGUGGUCAGGUAGAGAAUACCAAGGCGCUUGAGAGAACUCGGGUGAAGGAACUAGGCAAAAUGGUGCCGUAACUUCGGGAGAAGGCACGCUGAUAUGUAGGUGAAGCCCCUGCGGGUGGAGCUGAAAUCAGUCGAAGAUACCAGCUGGCUGCAACUGUUUAUUAAAAACACAGCACUGUGCAAACACGAAAGUGGACGUAUACGGUGUGACGCCUGCCCGGUGCCGGAAGGUUAAUUGAUGGGGUUAGCGGCAACGCGAAGCUCUUGAUCGAAGCCCCGGUAAACGGCGGCCGUAACUAUAACGGUCCUAAGGUAGCGAAAUUCCUUGUCGGGUAAGUUCCGACCUGCACGAAUGGCGUAAUGAUGGCCAGGCUGUCUCCACCCGAGACUCAGUGAAAUUGAACUCGCUGUGAAGAUGCAGUGUACCCGCGGCAAGACGGAAAGACCCCGUGAACCUUUACUAUAGCUUGACACUGAACACUGGUCCUUGAUGUGUAGGAUAGGUGGGAGGCUUUGAAGCGUGGACGCCAGUCUGCGUGGAGCCGACCUUGAAAUACCACCCUUUAAUGGCUGGUGUUCUAACGUAGACCCGUGAUCCGGGUUGCGGACAGUGUCUGGUGGGUAGUUUGACUGGGGCGGUCUCCUCCCAAAGAGUAACGGAGGAGCACGAAGGUUAGCUAAUCCUGGUCGGACAUCAGGAGGUUAGUGCAAUGGCAUAAGCUAGCUUGACUGCGAGAGUGACGGCUCGAGCAGGUGCGAAAGCAGGUCAUAGUGAUCCGGUGGUUCUGAAUGGAAGGGCCAUCGCUCAACGGAUAAAAGGUACUCCGGGGAUAACAGGCUGAUACCGCCCAAGAGUUCAUAUCGACGGCGGUGUUUGGCACCUCGAUGUCGGCUCAUCACAUCCUGGGGCUGAAGUAGGUCCCAAGGGUAUGGC